rnacentral:rRNA from 1 species
AGAGUUUGAUCCUGGCUCAGAUUGAACGCUGGCGGCGUGCUUAACACAUGCAAGUCGAUCGGUUACAGGUGUAGCAAUACAUGCUGACGAGAGGCGGACGGGUGAGGAAUAUUUGGGAAUCUGCCCAUCAGCGGGGGACAACCCGGGGAAACUCGGGCUAAUACCGCAUACGCUCUACGGAGGAAAGCCGGGGACCGCAAGGCCUGGCACUGAUGGAUGAGCCCAAAUCGGAUUAGCUAGUUGGCGGGGUAACGGCCCACCAAGGCGACGAUCCGUAGCUGGUCUGAGAGGACGAUCAGCCACACCGGAACUGAGACACGGGCCCGACUCCUACGGGAGGCAGCAGUAAGGAAUAUUGGGCAAUGGACGAAAGUCUGACCCAGCCAUGCCGCGUGAAGGAUGAAGGUCCUCUGGAUUGUAAACUUCUUUUAUAUGAGACGAAAAAAGAGUUUUCUAACUCAACUGACGGUACCAUAUGAAUAAGCACCGGCUAACUUCGUGCCAGCAGCCGCGGUAAUACGAAGGGUGCAAGCGUUACUCGGAAUUACUGGGCGUAAAGCGUGCGUAGGCGGUUUGUUAAGUCUGCUGUGAAAGCCCUGGGCUCAACCUGGGAACUGCAGUGGAUACUGGCGAGCUAGAGUGUGUCAGAGGAUGGUGGAAUUCCCGGUGUAGCGGUGAAAUGCGUAGAGAUCGGGAGGAACACCAGUGGCGAAGGCGGCCAUCUGGGACAGCACUGACGCUCAUGCACGAAAGCGUGGGGAGCAAACAGGAUUGGAUACCCUGGUAGUCCACGCCCCUAAACGAUGUCAACUGGUUGUUGGGUCUUCACUGACUCAGUAACGAAGCUAACGCGUGAAGUUGACCGCCUGGGGAGUACGGCCGCAAGGUUAAAACUCAAAGGAAUUGACGGGGACCCGCACAAGCGGUGGAUGAUGUGGUUUAAUUCGAAGCAACGCGCAGAACCUUACCAACCCUUGACAUGGCGAUCGCGGUUCCAGAGAUGGUUCCUUCAGUUCGGCUGGAUCGCACACAGGUGCUGCAUGGCUGUCGUCAGCUCGUGUCGUGAGAUGUUCGGUUAAGUCCGGCAACGAGCGCAACCCACACUCUUAGUUGCCAGCAUUCAGUUGGGCACUCUAAGAGAACUGCCGAUGAUAAGUCGGAGGAAGGUGUGGAUGACGUCAAGUCCUCAUGGCCCUUACGGGUUGGGCUACACACGUGCUACAAUGGUGGUGACAAUGGGUUAAUCCCUAAAAGCCAUCUCAGUUCGGAUUGGGGUCUGCAACUCGACCCCAUGAAGUCGGAAUCGCUAGUAAUCGCGUAACAGCAUGACGCGGUGAAUACGUUCCCGGGCCUUGUACACACCGCCCGU